AAGAGGCCGUCGGUGGGGUUGGAUCAGCUAGGUCGGAGACCUCUCAUUGCUUAGGCCCCAUGGCAGCAGCCGGAUCGGGGCGGCGGCGGAAGGCCAUGGAGGGUGUGGUGCAUGCGGGCGAAACCAACAUGGGUUGGUGGAGCAACGGAUGCGGGCAGGGUCAGCGGUUAGGGGCACUGCGAGGAGUGGAAGGCAGAGGGUAGGGGCAGAAAGCCGUGGCGAGUCCUCGGAGAGGAGAGGAAGGCGACGGUUCAGCCCGUGGUGUUGGGCAGAGAGAGAUGUGGAUGGCGGCGUUGUGCAAAGAGAGAUGGCGGCGGCGCUGAGUAGAGAGAGAUGACUGCGGCAGCGGUGGCGCUGAGUAGAGAGAGAUGACGUCCAUAAUCUUGCGGAGGUGUUCCUCAACCUACAUGAGGCACCCCAAGUGUGGGAAGAAUAAAAUGUAAUUCAAUCGUUGGGUGUAUUGUUCAGAUGAGUUCGUCCUGUGCUAGAAGGUGAGCUGAACCCAACCUAGGCCUCAAGUUUCUCCUGUCCUUUGAAGUGCAUUGUUAUUUCUGUGAGGUUCACAUCUGCAGGAAUUCAGUUUGUUUCUGGUUUUUUGGAAGUCAUAGAUUGUUUUGUGCCGGAGACAGGACAAAAAUGCACACCUACUUCCAAGCUUAGUACUGGUCUCCUUGCAGUUACAACCCCGAGAAAAUCGCCAUGCCCAGACGGCAGUGCCAGGUGUGCCUUAUUUCAAGCUGCUGAGAAGAAAACCGCUGCACCAGAAGAACCUAUGCAGAAGCUUGAUGCAGAAGACGAGGUGAGCUCUGGUGGUAAAGCUGAAGCUUCUUCACCUCCUGUUGAAGAGAAGGAUGGUAAAUAUGGCCAGGCUCAAGUGACCAGGAAUAAAUGGUGCUGCUUUUUAUGUUGUCCAUCUAUCUAUGCAUCCUUCAGUUUGUACCGGCAUAACAAAUAUUCAUUUCUGACUAUAAAACUUUCAGUUAAGAAACUCCACUGCUGGAAAGGGAGCUGGGGCACUAAAGAAACCGGGAUAAACUAUCUAUAGAUACAAUAGCAAAUUGCUCUAAAUUCAUUUUCAGUUAUCAUCUCUGGCCUUUCUAUUUCUAAGACCAUCCUUCUCGCUGUUGUCUAUUAUAUAAUCUUAGUUUCUCCUUGAUGACAUCGCAAGAAAAGAAUGGUGGUCUUAUGCGAGUCGCUUCGCCAUCCAACAACACUCCAUUGCACUACUUUUUGUCCAGCUUCAAGCCGAGCCAGUGAAUGUGUGUUCCUUGCAUGACGUUUAGUAUAACCAAAUGCUUCUUAUUAAGUAUGCUUUCAAAACUAGAGUAUUUGGCUGCUCAUGUAGCUCUGCCAAAGCAAUGCAAAAAAACUACAUUUUAUGCUUUCAGUUAGGGUGGAUUUGUGUCUUCAGAGAUGAGGCAACCUUACGUGUACAUAUUCACAGAUACUUCCUCCGUUCCUAAAUAGAAGUCUUUAGAGAUUUAAAUACGGACUACACACAAAGCAAAAUGAGUGAAUCUACACUCUAAACUGUGUCCCUUUAUCACACUUCCAGCAGACAUGAGUUCUCGUGUUUUUACAGCUUUGUGGCAACAUGAUUCGAUGCAGAAGAUUCAACUAUGUAAAUUGGAAUAAAGAAAAUUAAACACUCAGGUCAAUGGACUGUUCUUUUAUUUGUCUAUGGAACAACUCUUCUUGUACAUGUUUGUGCUCUGUUCCAUAGCAUGCUAGUGCUCUGACCACUUCAUAUCCAUGUAUUUAGCAGGUUCUACGAUCUCUUGUGUUGCACUGUUGCUGCGUCUCGAUCUCCUGCUUUGUUGCAUCUUUGUUCUGCUCCUUGAUGUUUGCUUACUUUCUGUCUAGCUAAAAUGCUUUUCUGGAUCUGGCAAGGCCCCGUGUAUUGUUCGUCCUCAUGCUGCUUAUAUUCCAUGCUUGCAUGUGAGCAGGAUGCGUCUACUUAUUUGAGUACAUACAGACAUGCUUCUUUAGUGUGCCCUUCUAUCAUCUCAUAGUUAUCUUAUUUGUUGUUCUAAAUAAUUAUUGCAGGAGGGAGCAGCAGGCAAAAGAAAAUCCAAAGCAAAUUUUGCUCAGCUGUAGCGUCUUCCACUAACAAUAAGUCUGCACAGCAGCCUGAUAGGGAUAUGAGGAGACAGCUCUAUUGUUAGUAGUGACUGCAAACAUGGACUCCUCUUCGCUGGACGGGGAAAACAAAAAUAAUAAUCUAGUAGGCAGUAAAAUUACAUGGCUGAUCUCGGUUUUGUACAUCUUAGGUGAGCAUUAUGAGUUCUACUUCCCAUAAGAGAGUGUAUUUUGGUGCUACAGAUUGUUUCUAUCUUAGAGCAAGAAGCCAAAUCAUGUCGUUCAUUGUAAAUCUUGAAAAACUUGUUUAUUGUCACUUCUAUAUCUGUUAUAAACUUUUGUUCCUGGUGUGGUACUUGUCAAUCUUGGUUUGCCCUUCCAUUUCAAAUUUGCCCUUCCACUG